rnacentral:lncRNA from 1 species
UCAGAGAUUCCAUAGCUUUCCAAGCAUUCCUUAGGGUUCUAACUCAAGUCCAUCAUCCGCAACACAAAAUCAAGAAGCGAACACAUCAAUGCGAUCCUUACGAUAUAGGUAAGAAUUUACCACCCCCUUUAUCCUUAUAAAUCAAGUUUUAGAAAGCGCUUCAUGGCUAAUCAAGCUUGUCAUUUUUGUAUUUUAGCUAUAUAAUCUUAAGAAAUGGGAUAGAUAAAAUGGAACAAGGUUUGGAAGCAAGAACACAAGAGAUAUGUAGGG